rnacentral:rRNA from 1 species
UACAGAGGUCUCAAGCGUUGUUCGGAUUCAUUGGGCGUAAAGGGUGUGUAGGUGGCGCGCUAAGUCAGGGGUGAAAUCCUGGAGCUCAACUCCAGAACUGCCUUUGAUACUGGUGAGCUUGAGUCCGGAAGAGGUGAGUGGAACUGCGAGUGUAGAGGUGAAAUUCGUAGAUAUUCGCAAGAACACCAGUGGCGAAGGCGGCUCACUGGUCCGGUACUGACGCUGAGGUGCGAAAGCGUGGGGAGCAAACAGG